AUUGAACGCUGGCGGCGUGCUUUACACAUGCAAGUCGAACGGCAGCGCGGGGGCAACCCUGGCGGCGAGUGGCGAACGGGUGAGUAAUGCAUCGGAACGUAUCCUGUAAUGGGGGAUAACUAAUCGAAAGAUUAGCUAAUACCGCAUACGCUCGGGAGAGGAAAGUGGGGGAUCGCAAGACCUCACGUUAUAGGAGCGGCCGAUGUCUGAUUAGCUAGUUGGUGAGGUAAAGGCUCACCAAGGCGACGAUCAGUAGCUGGUCUUAGAGGAUGAUCAGCCACACUGGGACUGAGACACGGCCCAGACUCCUACGGGAGGCAGCAGUGGGGAAUUUUGGACAAUGGGGGCAACCCUGAUCCAGUCAUGCCGCGUGCGGGAAGAAGGCCUUCGGGUUGUAAACCGCUUUAGUCUAGGAAAAAGGAAUGCAGGAUUAAUACCCUUGUGUUUUGAUGGUACUGGAAGAAUAAGCACCGGCUAACUACGUGCCAGCCGCCGCCGUAA
rnacentral:rRNA from 1 species